UUUCCGUAGGUGAACCUGCGGAAGGAUCAUCAGAGAAAAAAUAAUCUGAAAAAACAAAAAACCACCCUUUUGUGCAAAUUUGAGGAGGGGAAUGGGAGGGGAAGUUUGGGAAAGAAGGGAAGGAGGAGAGGGGGGCGAGAUUUAUUUUGCUCCCUCUUUUUUUCUUCCCUCUUUCUCUUGCACCCCACCUCACCCCCCCCCUUGAUUUUUUUUCUUUACAAAACAACUUUUUUCCCUACUCUGUAAACUAUACCCAACAAAAUUAAAAAAGACACAACUUUUAACAACGGAUCUCUUGGCUCUC
rnacentral:misc_RNA from 1 species